GCUUAACCGAAGAAGUGCAUCGGAAACUGGGUGACUUGAGUGCAGAAGAGGACAGUGGAACUCCAUGUGUAGCGGUGGAAUGCGUAGAUAUAUGGAAGAACACCAGUGGCGAAGGCGGCUGUCUGGUCUGCAACUGACGCUGAGGCUCGAAAGCAUGGGUAGCGAACAGGAUUAGAUACCCUGGUAGUCCAUGCCGUAAACGAUGAGUGCUAGGUGUUGGAGGGUUUCCGCCCUUCAGUGCCGGAGCUAACGCAUUAAGCACUCCGCCUGGGGAGUACGACCGCAAGGUUGAAACUCAAAGGAAUUGACGGGGGCCCGCACAAGCGGUGGAGCAUGUGGUUUAAUUCGAAGCUACGCGAAGAACCUUACCAGGUCUUGACAUCUUGCGCUAACCUAAGAGAUUAGGCGUUCCCUUCGGGGACGCAAUGACAGGUGGUGCAUGGUCGUCGUCAGCUCGUGUCGUGAGAUGUUGGGUUAAGUCCCGCAACGAGCGCAACCCUUGUUACUAGUUGCCAGCAUUCAGUUGGGCACUCUAGUGAGACUGCCGGUGACAAACCGGAGGAAGGUGGGGACGACGUCAGAUCAUCAUGCCCCUUAUGACCUGGGCUACACACGUGCUACAAUGGUCGAUACAACG
rnacentral:rRNA from 1 species